GAUGAAGAACGUAGCGAAAUGCGAUAAGUAGUGUGAAUUGCAGAAUUCAGUGAAUCAUCGAAUCUUUGAACGCACAUUGCGCCCUUUGGUAUUCCUUAGGGCAUGCCUGUUCGAGCGUCAUUUAAACCUUCAAGCUAAGCUUGGUGUUGGGUGACUGUCCGCCUCACGGCGGACUCGCCUCAAAAUUAUUGGCGGCCGGUACAUUGGCUUCGAGCGCAGCAGAAACGCGAACUCGGGCCCGUCGUAUUGGCUCCCAGAAGCUAUCUUCACAAUUUUGACCUCGGAUCAGGUAGGGAUACCCGCUGAACUUAAGCAUAUCAAUAAGCGGAGG
rnacentral:misc_RNA from 1 species